rnacentral:rRNA from 1 species
GCGGCUGCUUACACAUGCAGUCGAACGAGACCUUCGGGUCUAGUGGCGCACGGGUGCGUAACGCGUGGGAAUCUGCCCUUAGGUACGGAAUAACUCAGAGUAAUUUGUGCUAAUACCGUAUGAUGUCGAAAGACCAAAGAUUUAUCGCCUAGGGAUGAGCCCGCGUAAGAUUAGCUUGUUGGUGAGGUAAAAGCUCACCAAGGCGACGAUCUUUAGCUGGUCUGAGAGGAUGAUCAGCCACACUGGGACUGAGACACGGCCCAGACUCCUACGGGAGGCAGCAGUGGGGAAUAUUGGACAAUGGGCGAAAGCCUGAUCCAGCAAUGCCGCGUGAGUGAUGAAGGCCUUAUGGUUGUAAAGCUCUUUUACUAGGGUUGAUAAUGACAGUACCUGGAGAAUAAGCUCCGGCUAACUCCGUGCCAGCAGCCGCGGUAAUACGGAGGGAGCUAGCGUUGUUCGGAAUUACUGGGCGUAAAGAGUACGUAUGCGGAGAAUCAAGUCAUAGGCGAAAGCCUGUAGCUUUACUCCAUAACUGCGCUU